GACAGAGGGUGCAAGCGUUGUUCGGAUUUACUGGGCGUAAAGCGCGUGUAGGCGGCUUCGUAAGUUGGAUGUGAAAUCCCACGGCUCAACCGUGGACGUGCAUCCAAAACUACGUCGCUGGAGUCUCGGAGAGGAAGGUGGAAUGCUUGGUGUAGAGGUGAAAUUCGUAGAUAUCAAGCAGAACGCCUGCGGCGAAGGCGGCCUUCUGGACGAUGACUGACGCUGAGACGCGAAAGCGUGAAAAGCAAACAGG
rnacentral:rRNA from 1 species